AACGAACGCUGGCGGCAGGCCUAACACAUGCAAGUCGAGCGAGGGGUAACCCUAGCGGCGGACGGGUGAGUAACGCGUGGGAACGUACCCUUUGGUUCGGAAUAGCCCUGGGAAACUGGGAGUAAUACCGGAUACGGUCGAGAGACGAAAGAUUUAUCGCCGAAGGAUCGGCCCGCGUUGGAUUAGGUAGUUGGUGGGGUAAUGGCCUACCAAGCCGACGAUCCAUAGCUGGUUUGAGAGGAUGAUCAGCCACACUGGGACUGAGACACGGCCCAGACUCCUACGGGAGGCAGCAGUGGGGAAUCUUAGACAAUGGGCGCAAGCCUGAUCUAGCCAUGCCGCGUGAUCGAUGAAGGCCUUAGGGUUGUAAAGAUCUUUCAGUGGGGAAGAUAAUGACUGU
rnacentral:rRNA from 1 species